rnacentral:lncRNA from 1 species
AGCACUAAGUAGCAUUGUAUGGAACCCAUUUUCAUUUUAUACAUACAAAACCCUAAACCACCGAAACAAAGAGGGAAAAAAGGAAAAAAAGGAGAAAAGGGGAAGAAAAAAGAAAGACGAAGAAGAAUUGAAAAUUUAGCGACAUCGUCUUUCUUCAGUCUCUCGUGGGUGGUGCUAAAUUUAUAGAGAGCAGAUGGGAAGGAAAAGAUAAAAAAAAAAAAAAGAAAGAAAGAAGAAAAAGUAAAGACGACGAAGUGUUCGAUUGAAAUUUGGAGCAUCUGACACAUAUCUCAUACUUAUACCCAUGUCGUGUCAGACACAAGGAUGCUUUGACUAUUUUGAAGAGUCCCAGCAUUAGAGAGCAAAAGUAGGACACAUGAAAUUUCUAUUUUCAGGUUUCUAUUUCGUGUAGAUCCAAGUUUUUUUGGGCCACGCAAAAUAAGGUUUGGGUUGGCUUUCUUGUUUAGCGUCUCAAUAGACCUGGAGGUAACUGACAUAAUACGACAGAGCUCUUGUUUUCUUCAAAAUUAGAAAACUAAUGUAUAAAGAAUUAUUGGAGUUGGAUGUGUGAAACGCAUGGUGGUCAAUGUAUGACAGACACACGAGUCACCUGCAAAUUAAUUACAGCUGGUACGAACAAGCUACUGGAUUGUGUGGGCUAUAUUUCGUGAUUGAAUUAUCGUCUUCGUUUAUUAAUUGUAGAUUCAAGAUAUAUCAUGUGAUGUCUCAUUAGACAAGCCAUUGAUUUGUUAGUUUAUGUCAAAUAGGAGUGGCAAGUAGGCGGGUUAUUUGAGUUCAGGCUGGUCGAAGUGGGCUGAUCUAAAAGCAUGUCAGAUGCUAAGCCACUAAUUGACAUUGUGGGAUUGAGAUUGGAUUGUGUCGAAAAAAAU